rnacentral:lncRNA from 10 species
CACCUGUGAACCUCGGCAGUGCGUCCCCGGGACUCUGUUCUGUGAGGUGCGCUCUGGGGGAUAUGUGGGGGCGGCGAUCAGGACGGGUCUCCGUGGCCCACGGAUGUGCCUUUGCACUGUGUGGAGUGGCGGGGCCGGCAGCGUGGCCGUGCUGGGCGUUAGUGGGUAUGAGGGGCGCAGAUGUGUCUCAGGCCAGUGUGUGCUGUGGUGAGGCUGAGCCAUCAGUGCAGGCUUGUGCUGGGAUGGUUGGUCGGGCCUUCUGGGUGACGCAGGUGUGUGUGACAGCACAACCUGUAGCUCCAGCGUCUCUGUGCUGAGAUGGGUGAUCGGGCCUUCUGGGUGACGCAGGUGUGUGUGACAACACAACCUGUAGCUCCAGCUUCUGUGUGCUGGGAUGGGUGAUCGGGCCUUCUGGGUGACGCAGGUGUGUGUGACAGCACAACCUGUAGUUCCAGCGUCUCUGUGCUGAGAUGGGUGAUCGGGCCUUCUGGGUGACGCAGGUGUGUGUGUGACAGCACAACCUGUAGCUCCAGCGUCUCUGCUGCUUCCCCUGCCUUCACCUCCUAACCAAGCGGUACCUGCCUGAGAACAAGGGCCGCGGAAGGACGGGAGUGCCUGAGCCCUGCCAGGAAAUUCACCAACAAGAAGGCAGAAACAGCCAUGAGGUGACGCUUUCAGAGCUAGAAGUGCUCUCCACUCAGGGCGCCUGAGUGACAGGAGACGGUGGCCUCAGGAGUAGAAUUCCUCCUGUAGAGGGACACGUCCCUGAUGUGGGAGACAGGGAGAGGGGCAGCUCCACGCUUCAUCAUCUCAGUUACCACAGCGUGCUCUUCAGGAAUCUCCCAGAAACUCCAUCUCGGGGCCUCGUAUUUCUCAUUGGUUUUAUUAGGUAUGGCAGGUGUUACCCUUCUGGUUCUGUUUUCCCCAGGCCAGCAUCCUUCAGAAAAAGCAUCCCCGAGGAGGAAGACGAAUCGUUAAACAUCUUAGGUCAGGUGAGUAUCUUUUUUUUUUUUUUAAUUAAAUCAUAUGUGUUUAUGAGACUUAGUCGGCGGGCGCAGUGGCUCACGCCUGUAAUCCCAGCACUUUGGGAGGCCGAGGUGGGCAAAUCACAAGGUCUGGAGAUCGAGACCAUCCUGGCUAACACGGUGAAACCCCGUCUCUACUAAAAAUACAAAAAUUAGCCGGGAGUGGUGGUGGGCGCCUGUAGUCCCAGCUACUCGGGAGGCUGAGGCAGGAGAAUGGCGGGAACCCGGGAGGCGGAGCUUGCAGUGAGCCGAGAUCGCACCGCUUCACUCCAGCCUGGGCAACACAGCGAGAC